AAUCCGUGAUGAGGGCAUUUGGUUUGAUAACCCUUAAAGCGCUCCCAAGCUUCAUAGAAGCUUUCAUUUUGCUUCUGAGUGAUUCCGGAUAUCUCAUUAUGGAGUCU
rnacentral:snoRNA from 2 species